rfam:Pyrenophora tritici-repentis Pt-1C-BFP supercont1.23 genomic scaffold, whole genome shotgun sequence.
UUUUGUGGCAGUCGCGAGGGAGAUAACUAGGCUUCCCGUCCGCUCAGCCAUAUAUAAGCAGUGUACCGGCGGAUUAGUAGUUAGGUGGGUGACCACUAGCGAAUCCCUGCUGUUGUAUGUU